UACUAAAAAUCUCAUCUAUUUGCAUUCUUAAAAAUUGACAUGGCUGAUAGGAUAGCCAAACAGUGACAUGUGGUAUGUCACCUUAUGUUAAGGUACAAGGACCAGUUUUUAAUGGUAAAAAUAGAUGGAAUUUUUAGUA
rfam:Gossypium arboreum cultivar AKA8401 contig_18826_7, whole genome shotgun sequence.